rnacentral:rRNA from 1 species
GACGAACGCUGGCGGCGUGCUUAACACAUGCAAGUCGAACGGAAAGGCCCUUCGGGGUACUCGAGUGGCGAACGGGUGAGUAACACGUGGGCGAUCUGCCCCGCACUUUGGGAUAAGCCCGGGAAACUGGGUCUAAUACCGAAUAGGACCACGCGCUUCAUGGCGCGUGGUGGAAAGCUUUUGCGGUGUGGGAUGAGCCCGCGGCCUAUCAGCUUGUUGGUGAGGUAAUGGCUCACCAAGGCGACGACGGGUAGCCGGCCUGAGAGGGUGACCGGCCACACUGGGACUGAGAUACGGCCCAGACUCCUACGGGAGGCAGCAGUGGGGAAUAUUGCACAAUGGGCGCAAGCCUGAUGCAGCGACGCCGCGUGAGGGAUGACGGCCUUCGGGUUGUAAACCUCUUUCAGUAGGGACGAAGCGCAAGUGACGGUACCUACAGAAGAAGGACCGGCCAACUACGUGCCAGCAGCCGCUGUAAGAC